rnacentral:lncRNA from 1 species
GGGUCACAAAGAAAAUAAAUGAGAUAUGCAUUUGGUGCCAUACACUCAACAGAGGCGCAGUGCUACAGAGACCAGGACAUUCGUUUGUUGUUAGACAACACUGAUUUGGAUAAUAAGUCAAAGCCUGGAACAGCGCUAAUCUGACUACAUUUGCAAUGCAUUCACAGGAUAACUGUGCAGAUACAACGCACGAGAAGCUGCUUACCAAAUAUAAUACCUUUGAGAUGUGGUGAAUUCACAGAAGAACAUUGUCGGGAAUGACUAAUGAAUAUAUCAACAGGCAAGAGAAAUUCCUACCACAAGCUAUUCUUCCAAAACAACCCAUAUUCAUUCAACUAUGUUGGCAUAGUUUGGAAUUACCAAAGUUGCAGGAGACAUCAAGGGCAGAAUAUUCAGUGGAACUGUGGGUUAGGUCCUUUCCACUGAAUACUCUGGGAGUGGAAGAAGGCAACUUGAAGAGUUCAUCUCUUUUUACGUACUGUCAAAUUCUGAAAAAAAUCUACUCAUGAGGGCCUAAAUGAAUGUCACAAGAGCCAUUCAACGUAGCAGUCCUGUGAAAACAUAAGGGCAGCAAUAUCUACAGAAAAUUUCACAGAAGCUCAAUGAUGAAAAAGAAAUAACCUGACGGAGA